ACUCACCUGACGAGUCCCAAAAAGGACGAAACUCAUAUUCUGGAU
rnacentral:hammerhead_ribozyme from 1 species